GAUGAACGCUGGCGGCGUGCCUAAUACAUGCAAGUCGAGCGAACAGAUGAGGAGCUUGCUCCUCUGACGUUAGCGGCGGACGGGUGAGUAACACGUGGAUAACCUACCUAUAAGACUGGGAUAACUUCGGGAAACCGGAGCUAAUACCGGAUAAUAUAUUGAACCGCAUGGUUCAAUAGUGAAAGACGGUUUUGCUGUCACUUAUAGAUGGAUGCGCGCCGCAUUAGCUAGUUGGUAAGGUAACGGCUUACCAAGGCAACGAUGCGUAGCCGACCUGAGAGGGUGAUCGGCCACACUGGAACUGAGACACGGUCCAGACUCCUACGGGAGGCAGCAGUAGGGAAUCUUCCGCAAUGGGCGAAAGCCUGACGGAGCAACGCCGCGUGAGUGAUGAAGGUCUUCGGAUCGUAGAACUCUGUUAUUAGGGAAGAACAAAUGUGUAAGUAACUAUGCACGUCUUGACGGUACCUAAUCAGAAAGCCACGGCUAACUACGUG
rnacentral:rRNA from 1 species